GUGGUUAGUAGAGAUUGCGUUGUUUCCCAGGGAUGCACGAGAUUUACUUUUCUUAUAAAGUACUUAUGGAGGCCAUGGAUGAUUUACUAUGCUCUCCAAAAAUAAGACUUCAAAGGUCCUCCUCCAUGAUUCAUUAUUGGCAGUCUUGUUGAAAUUGCAAACUUGUUGCAGCAGUCGAUGCUUACAGACAUGCCUUCGAUAAACCAUGACAUCGGAAACAAAAUUUCAGCUUAUAUACCAAGUGGUCACAGAUUUAUGGUUUCUUUCUCACAGAUGUCUGUUACGUUUUUUAAUGUAUGUUCUAAUUUUUGGAUUAAUGGUUGUGCAAGAGAGAGAUUUUUUAUAUUGGUUUGGUUAUGAGCCCAACAUUGUUUUAACCGAUGCCAAGCUAAUCAAGGAACUACUUUCUUCAUAGCAUUCUUUUGACUGUGGAAGGUCUCCAAUGACUAAGAAGAUGCUUUCUGUGGUCAUGGGUAAUGGAAUUUUCACCAUUAAUGGUCAAAAAUGGUCUUAGCAACGCAGAA